GGGAGCCGCUGAGAGCCGAGAGAAAGCGGUGAUAAGACGAUGAUGUCGCUCAGAGAACCGAGAUUGAGAAAGACCGGAGCAAGCUGAUAUGGCUGGAGAGGGGCACGAGAAUGAGGGCACAGCUGGCCCUGCAGAGCUGAGAAAAUCCCCUCAGAAAAGAGGGCACAGCAUUUCACCAUCUCGUUCCUUCAGACCAGCUCCUGGUAUAAAGUGAUGUAUACUGAAAGUACCAAACCAAAGGAAAAGAGCAUCACCAAAGCAGGGAAGUUUGCUACACACAGAUGCUUCCAUCCAGAGCAGGCAAGAGAGAAGUGAGACAGGUUUUAAUUACCUCAGUUCCAUGCCUUGGCAGUACAGCCCAGUGCAGUCCCUCAGGUGAGCAGCUCACCCCUGGGCUUCUCCCAUCUCCAGCCCAGCUUUUCCCACCUUGCUCUCUUCUGCUUUCAUUUCCAUCUGCACAUUUAAGUUCCAUCUUCUAAUUGUAAUUCUUUAACUUCAUGCUUUCAGUCCAGUGCUCUGAAUAACUGCAGUUGGCUUCUCCACUGCUAAUUUACUCAUAGUAGAAAAAUCAGUAACUGCCCCCCAACUCUGUUCUCUAAAGCCUCUGGAAACCUGCUGCAUUUACCCUGAAAAACAAGGGCCCCAUCCCUCAGGAAGCAGGCACAACCCAGCCGCAUGACAUCAAUGCAGUUCUCUGGCCAGAUUCUUUAACAAUGUAAAGGAGGUAUCUUUCAUCUGAUUCCUAAGUGAAUAAGAAACUUGAAGGAAACAGGAGGGUAGCAACAAGGCAUCUUCUUGAAUCUCUCAUUUUCCUGAACAAGUGCAAUGAUGAGAGAUCUUGUUGGACACAGAAGAGAAGAGAGACAAUAUUUGUCUGGAGCAGCUCUUGCCAGAUGAGAAAUCCCUCAGUGUGCACACAGUUGUUUGACCACCUCGCACAAUGAAAUGCUGCAUCGGGAAUAUCCAUAUGAUAAGGAGACUGGAGGAUGCUUUUCUGCAUAACUUUAUCAUUCCAAUGGUCUGGAGGAUUUGGAUGAUUGAAAACCAACAAGUAAAUAAAGCCCUAUCUAUUACACAGCCAACUGUUGAACUGGCAAUGCCCUGAAACUGCAUCUUCUCUUCAGCCCUGAGAACCCAGUGAGGCUGGCCUUUCUGUCCCGAGUUUUCAAGAACAUUGGACAUGAUGGAGAAACAAGGUGGCACAAUAUCAAGAUUUGUGUUGAUACCUCAGUGCUACAUAUCACUUUCCAUCUUUGCACUC
rnacentral:lncRNA from 1 species